rnacentral:rRNA from 1 species
UGGGGAAUAUUGCGCAAUGGGCGGAAGCCUGACGCAGCGACGCCGCGUGGGGGAUGACGGCCUUCGGGUUGUAAACCUCUUUCAGCAGGGACGAAGGGUGACUGACGGUACCUGCAGAAGAAGCGCCGGCUAACUACGUGCCAGCAGCCGCGGUAAUACGUAGGGCGCAAGCGUUGUCCGGAAUUAUUGGGCGUAAAGAGCUCGUAGGCGGUUUGUCGCGUCUGUCGUGAAAGCCCACGGCUUAACUGUGGGUCUGCGGUGGAUACGGGCAGACUAGAGGCAGGUAGGGGAGAAUGGAAUUCCCGGUGUAGCGGUGAAAUGCGCAGAUAUCGGGAGGAACACCGGUGGCGAAGGCGGUUCUCUGGGCCUGUACUGACGCUGAGGAGCGAAAGCGUGGGGAGCGAACA